GUGCCUUAAUUAUUUUGAAAAAUUCUGUGCUUUGUGGAUCCCAGUGCAUUUAUGAAAGAUGGAUGGCUUGAGGUAGAUCAUUAUUUCAGCGUUGAAGGUUGAGAAUCAAUGACUAUGGGCUAGCCAAUCGGAGGUGGCCACCUAUCUUAUGUUGAUUGGCCUAACAUCGCUUCACGUAGAUCAGUCUGCAUGACCGAAUCAAAGUAGUGGUGCAUCAAAGGGUCGCUUGGUUGGAUGGUCCUAAUCAAUGCCAUGUGGCUGAUAUUCGAUGGCUUGAGAGUC
rnacentral:lncRNA from 1 species